UCCUGGCUCAGGAUGAACGCUGGCGGCGUGCCUAACACAUGCAAGUCGAACGAAGCGCUCGGACGGAGUCUCUUCGGAGAGGAAGGCCGGGCGACUGAGUGGCGGACGGGUGAGUAACGCGUGGGCAACCUGCCCUGCACAGGGGGACAACAGCCGGAAACGGCUGCUAAUACCGCAUAAGCGCACAGCUUCGCAUGAAGCGGUGCGAAAAGCUUUGGCGGUGCAGGAUGGGCCCGCGUCUGAUUAGCUUGUUGGCGGGGCAACGGCCCACCAAGGCGACGAUCAGUAGCCGGCCUGAGAGGGUGGACGGCCACAUUGGGACUGAGACACGGCCCAGACUCCCACGGGAGGCAGCAGUGGGGAAUAUUGCACAAUGGGGGAAACCCUGAUGCAGCGACGCCGCGUGAGCGAAGAAGUAUUUCGGUAUGUAAAGCUCUAUCAGCAGGGAAGAAAAUGACGGUACCUGAGUAAGAAGCUCCGGCUAAAUACGUG
rnacentral:rRNA from 1 species